UGGCCUAACACAUGCAAGUCGAACGCAUCCUUCGGGAUGAGUGGCGCACGGGUGAGUAACGCGUGGAAAUCUACCUCGGGAUGGGGAAUAACCAUUGGAAACGAUGGCUAAUACCGCAUACGCCGGAAACGGGAAAGCUUUAUGCGUCCUGAGAUGAGUCCGCGUUAGAUUAGAUAGUUGGUGGGGUAACGGCCUACCAAGUCGACGAUCUAUAGCUGGUCUGAGAGGAUGAUCAGCCACACUGGGACUGAGACACGGCCCAGACUCCUACGGGAGGCAGCAGUGGGGAAUAUUGGACAAUGGGCGCAAGCCUGAUCCAGCCAUGCCGCGUGAGUGAAGAAGGCCUUAGGGUUGUAAAGCUCUUUCGACGGGGAAGAUGAUGACGGUACCCGUAGAAGAAGCCCCGGCUAACUCCGUGCCAGCAGCCGCGGUAAUACGGAGGGGGCAAGCGUUGUUCGGAAUUACUGGGCGUAAAGGGCGUGUAGGCGGGAUAUCAAGUUAGGGGUGAAAGGCCUGGGCUCAACCUGGGAACUGCCUCUAAAACUGAUAACCUAGAGUUCGGGAGAGGAUAGCGGAAUUCCUAGUGUAGAGGUGAAAUUC
rnacentral:rRNA from 1 species